CCUACGGGAGGCAGCAGUGGGGAAUUUUGGACAAUGGGCGCAAGCCUGAUCCAGCCAUGCCGCGUGUGGGAAGAAGGCCUUCGGGUUGUAAACCACUUUUGUCAGGGAAGAAACGGUCUGAACUAAUACUUUGGACUAAUGACGGUACCUGAAGAAUAAGCACCGGCUAACUACGUGCCAGCAGCCGCGGUAAUACGUAGGGUGCAAGCGUUAAUCGGAAUUACUGGGCGUAAAGCGUGCGCAGGCGGCUUUGCAAGACAGAUGUGAAAUCCCCGGGCUCAACCUGGGAACUGCAUUUGUGACUGCAUGGCUAGAGUACGGUAGAGGGGGAUGGAAUUCCGCGUGUAGCAGUGAAAUGCGUAGAUAUGCGGAGGAACACCGAUGGCGAAGGCAAUCCCCUGGACCUGUACUGACGCUCAUGCACGAAAGCGUGGGGAGCAAACAGGAUUAGAUACCCUGGUAGUCCACGCCCUAAACGAUGUCAACUGGUUGUUGGGAGGGUUUCUUCUCAGUAACGAAGCUAACGCGUGAAGUUGACCGCCUGGGGAGUCGGCCGCAAGGUUGAACUUAAGGAAUUGACGGCUGNGAGNGCGAGACGACGACGAGGAGGAGG
rnacentral:rRNA from 1 species